rnacentral:rRNA from 1 species
CCGGAGCUAAUACCGGAUAGUUCCUUGAACCGCAUGGUUCAAGGAUGAAAGACGGUUUCGGCUGUCACUUACAGAUGGACCCGCGGCGCAUUAGCUAGUUGGUGAGGUAACGGCUCACCAAGGCGACGAUGCGUAGCCGACCUGAGAGGGUGAUCGGCCACACUGGGACUGAGACACGGCCCAGACUCCUACGGGAGGCAGCAGUAGGGAAUCUUCCGCAAUGGACGAAAGUCUGACGGAGCAACGCCGCGUGAGUGAUGAAGGUUUUCGGAUCGUAAAGCUCUGUUGUUAGGGAAGAACAAGUGCAAGAGUAACUGCUUGCACCUUGACGGUACCUAACCAGAAAGCCACGGCUAACUACGUGCCAGCAGCCGCGGUAAUACGUAGGUGGCAAGCGUUGUCCGGAAUUAUUGGGCGUAAAGGGCUCGCAGGCGGUUUCUUAAGUCUGAUGUGAAAGCCCCCGGCUCAACCGGGGAGGGUCAUUGGAAACUGGGAAACUUGAGUGCAGAAGAGGAGAGUGGAAUUCCACGUGUAGCGGUGAAAUGCGUAGAGAUGUGGAGGAACACCAG